GCGAAAGCGAGUCUGAAUAGGGCGUCAAGUUCGUUGGAUUAGACCCGAAACCGAGUGAUCUAGCCAUGGCCAGGUUGAAGGUGCGGUAACACGCACUGGAGGACCGAACCCACGCCUGUUGAAAAAGUCGGGGAUGAGCUGUGGCUAGGGGUGAAAGGCCAAUCAAACUCGGAAAUAGCUGGUUCUCCGCGAAAUCUAUUUAGGUAGAGCGUCGGAUGAAUACUCUCGGGGGUAGAGCACUGGAUGGGCUAUGGGGGCUUACCGCCUUACUGAUCCUAACCAAACUCCGAAUACCGAGAAGUACUAUCCGGCAGACACACAGUGGGUGCUAACGUCCAUUGUGGAGAGGGAAACAACCCUGACCGCCAGUUAAGGUCCCUAAGUUAUGGCUAAGUGGGAAAGGAUGUAGAGAUCCCAAAACAACCAGGAUGUUGGCUUAGAAGCAGC
rnacentral:rRNA from 14 species